GACGAACGCUGGCGGCGUGCUUAACACAUGCAAGUCGAACGGAAAGGCCCUGCUUUUGUGGGGUGCUCGAGUGGCGAACGGGUGAGUAACACGUGAGUAACCUGCCCUUGACUUUGGGAUAACUUCAGGAAACUGGGGCUAAUACCGGAUAGGAGCUCCUGCUGCAUGGUGGGGGUUGGAAAGUUUCGGCGGUUGGGGAUGGACUCGCGGCUUAUCAGCUUGUUGGUGGGGUAGUGGCUUACCAAGGCUUUGACGGGUAGCCGGCCUGAGAGGGUGACCGGCCACAUUGGGACUGAGAUACGGCCCAGACUCCUACGGGAGGCAACAGUGGGGAAUAUUGCACAGUGGGCGGAAGCCUGAUGCAGCAACGCCGCGUGCGGGAUGACGGCCUUCGGGUGGUAAACCGCUUUCGCCUGUGACGAAGCGUGAGUGACGGUAAUGGGUAAAGAAGCACCGGCUAACUACGU
rnacentral:rRNA from 1 species